GGGGUCCCGCGACUAGGCGGAAAGUGGGAGCGCAGGGCUGGGCGGCUCAGCGGCCCAUUCAUUAGCCCUGCUCGCUCUAUCCUUCUCCCAAAGCUAGUUUCGUCUUGCCGGGCCAUUUCGCCAAAGCACCACCUGGCCGCCACACUGGCUGAUCUUUUUUUUUUUUUAAUCUUAAGCAAAUGUACUCGAUUUCACCCUGCCCGUCCCAAAUUCCUUUCCAGAAAUCACUGGAAAACAAAAUAUUCUGCUACUCUGUCUCGAGAGUUUCUGAAUUCUCCUUUAGGCGACCCUAGCGUCAAACGAAGAAAGAAAUUAAAAUCCGACCUAAAUAAACUGUGUGCUAAUAUUUGAAGCUGUUGGAUCUGAUGACUGGUGGCCAUUCAUGAAGCCGGGGCAAAUAACUAGAAGCUGCGACGGAAAGGAAAGCAGGGUUACUCAGCUCUUUAGUGGCUUCAAUGCCCUGCAAGCAAUUUAUCUCAACCACCGGCCGUCUCCUGAGCUUUUGCCAAAGGAUCCAGCUUUACUGAAGAGCACAGCCAUUAAUCCUCUUAAUACAAAGGGGAAAAGAUAUCAGUUCUAUAAUGGAGUUUAAGGACUCUGGAUUAGAUUACAAACAACCAUCUAAUUUCCUCUGGUCAGAAAAAAACUGAGGUAAAACAAUGGCCUCCCACGAAACCUCCAUCGGUGCUACUCUCAACCACAUAAUGGGAGCACCCGGACUUACGGGAGAUUUGAAUUCCCAUUGGCUCAGCAGAUGGGAAAGAAACCGAGAUCACAGGAGCACAAAGGUCAAUAGCAACAAGCUUCUUCCAGCUUCUGGCCACCUGACGGAAGAUAUAAUGUCAAGAUUAGUAAAAAGCCCAGAUCCAAAUACUGAUGCUCCACUGAGAAGUUCUACAGAAACUUUUGUCAGAAGUUAUUUCAAAUGAGGAAAAGAGAAAGAACGGGUAUGUGAAAGAGAAAAAGUAUUUUGAUUAAAAGAUGUUCAAAUCAACAGCUGAAGCAUUAUACAAGGCUUCAGGUUUGAUUGAUCUCUGAACUUUUUCUCCAAUUUCUUUUCAUAAAUCUUGUAGUUAAUCCUAUCAGUUGUAGGAGUGUACUGUAGGUGGUAAACAAUUCUCAAGUGACUUCGGAGCAGAAAUCAAGUCUAGGGUAGAGCUGUAAGAUCCUUUAUUAAGAAGUCAGGGGGACUGUGUCUCAUAGAUCCUCGCAGACAGACAGGAAGUCUUCGAAAGAUUUCAAAAGUGUAUCUUGCAGACUUGCUCAGUUUAAACAGUGGGGCUUCUAAGAAUCUCAGGCUGUUGUCCUAUAGCGGCUUCACAGGGAGUCCAAAGUAGAUAAAAAGCGUAUUUCAAAGAGAUUUGUAGGCCUGGGUUUUAUAUAAUGGAAUGGAUUAUAAAGUGACCCUUAGGAAAUCUGCAGUCUUUAAAGAAUUAUAUCAGCAUGAUCUGAAAAAGACAGACAUAGAGCACCUGCCAUACCUUUACUAGCAUUUCUCUAAGUGUGGUUCACAAAUUACUGUGAUCCACAUCAGACCACCUGGGCUGAAUAAUUUUUGGGGGGUGGGGGAAGGAGACACAGCCAGAGAUGAACAUUGUUAAUAGGUAGUAUUUCCGAAUGCCUCAAACAGACCUACUUACAUAUUUCUAAAUAUAUUAUUCCCUGAGGCACUGCCUUCCAUUCCGUUAUGUUGAAAUACAGUUUUCCAUUUCUCACAUCAUAGCCACAGUUUAAAUUUUAUGCCUUCUGUCCUUUCAUUGAAUAGUGGUAGGUCAAUUGGACCAUUUGCAUUAGGAACUGUGAUGCCUAGCUCACAUUAUACACACACACAAACAUUAAUUUGAAUGAAUUGUAGCCCUAAACAUGAAAAGUAAAAUAAUGCUCUUAGAAAAACAUAGGAGAAUAUCUUCACAACCUUGAGUUAGACAAACAUUAAAUAAGAGAAAGAAGCAUAAGCAUAAAACAAAAGAUAAAAACUGCAUUUCAUUGAAAUUAAGAACUUUUGGUGAAGAAACACCAUUAAGAGUGAAAUGCAAGGUAGAGCUAGAAGAUAUUUGCAAUACAUAUGUCAACAAAGUACUUGUAUCCAGAAUAUGUAAAGAACCCCUACAACUCUAAAAGAAAAAGACAGAUGUCCUAUUUUUGAAAUUGGAAAACCUGAAACAGUUUUUUCUCACAAUUCUGGAGGCUAUAGGUCCAAGAUCAAGAUGUCAGCAGAUGCAGUUUCUUUUGAACUUCUCUCCUUGGCUUGCAGAGGACACCUCACUGUGCAGUCACAGGGCCUUCUGUCUGUGCCUUCAUGCCCUGAGUGUCUCUCUGUAUGUCCUGAUCUUUUCUUAUAAGGACACCAGUCAUAUUGGAUUAGGACCUAUAUUAAUGACCCCAUUUUAACUCAACUACAUCAUCAUGAACUUACAUAAUAAACAUAAGUGUCUGGUUAAAAACAAAAACAAAAAUGAAAAACAAAAAGAAUAGUGAUUACCAUCAUACCACCACCAGAAUGGCUAAGACUGGCAAUACUAAAUGUGGGCAAGGAUGUGGAGAACCUGAAAGAACUGCCUUACUUUGGUGGUGGGAGUAUAAAUUAGUACAAACACUUUGGGAAACUUUCAAUACUAAAGCUGAACAUAUGUAUACACUACAAUCCAGAAAUUCUACUCCAGUAUAUUUGCCCAACAGAAAUAAGUACACAAAUCCACCAAAAGGCGUGUAUGAGAAGGUUCAUAGGAGAAACUGGAAAGAACCCAUGUAUCCAUCAAACAUUGUAUGGAUUAUAAAAUAAUGUGUAUAUUGUUAUAAUGGAAGACUUUAUGGAAAGAAAAAACCACACUUGCUAUUGCUAUACACAAUCACAUGAAUUAAUCUCUUAGGCAUGACAUUGAGUAAAAGAAGUUGGACACAAUGGAGUACACACUAUAUAAUUCGAUUUUUAUGACGUUCAAGAACGUGAAACUAAUUAAUAGUGAUAUUAGUCAGAAUAUGGGUUCCCUUUUGGAGAAGGACAGCAUUGACUAGAAGGGGACAUAGGAAGCCUUCUAGUAAGCUGUGAACAUUGUAUAUCUUUUUUUUUCAAGCUUUAUUGAGGGAGGAUGUUCUAGGUUUUGGUUUAGGUGGUAGUUACACUAGUAUAUACAUAUGUAAAAUUUCAUUGAGCUGUGUUGCUAAUAUUGGUGUUUUGAUGUACCUAAGUUACACCUCAAUUUGAAAAAAAAAGUAAACAGUAAAAACAAACCAAAGCUGUACCCAUCUUUCCAAGGGGCAGGUUGACAGAAGGAGAGGGGGAUAUAGAUGAAAGAAGAUUGGUCAUGUAUUGAUAAUUGUUGAAGCUGGGCAAUCUAUACAUUGAGGCUUAUAAUAUUCUCACUAAUUUUUUUUUCCAUUAAAGAGAAACAUUUUGCCCAUUCUAACAGGCCCAUUUCAAAGCCACCUCAAAAUUUUAUUUCUUCUUCCUUUGAACUUCCAAAGCAUUUUGCUUGUUAGUAGAAACUGUCUUUCACUCAUUCUCUAAACUCAGUGGCUCUCCUUCCUCUCGUUGCUGCCUCGUAGCACCUUCACCGAUAGGCUCCCCUCUAGGAUACCCAAGCACAAGCGAGUUAUGCACACCAAGGGGCAGUUACGUUUCUCACAAAACCUGCUCAUGUCACAUUUCUGUUAUCAUAUUUACAUAACUUCAUCAAAUAGUGCAAAUCAAAUAGUUCAAAGAGCUGUUUAUUGAAACCAUGCUCACUACUCUGGAAAGAGUUGCUAAAGGCAAAUAACUAGAAAAUUUAAUGUCAAAUUAGGUGUUUAAAUCUGUGAACUAUACUGAAAACCACUAAAUUGUACAGUUGAGAGGUGAAUUUUAUGGGAUAUGAAUUAUAUCUUAAUAAAGUUGCUAUAAAAUAUAGGAGUGGAUGUGGUGACUGCAUAACAUUGCAAGAAUUUUGAAAAAAAAUCCAGAAGGCCUUUGCAGUAACUUUGUCAGUGUCUUUAAUUUCUCAUUCUUUUUUAAGAAAAUACAACGGGAAUCACAGACUAUGCUUUUGAGUAUGGUUUACACAAGAAAAACCAUAUAGAACUCUAAUCAGCAAACCUUUGUUCAAAGAAAUCUUGGCCCUACAUCAAACUAUUGGACAGUGGAUGCAUACUGAUAUUGUUCUAGGCUAAAAUAAAAUGUUUAAAAGACUAAUGUAUUUUUAUUCUUCUCUUAGUCAUGCCAUAUAUAUGUUUAAUAUACAAGUUUUUUUGAGAUAUAAUUCACAAAUUCAUCCAUUUAAAAUACUCAAGCCAAUGGUUUUUAAUAUAUUCAGAAUUGUACAAACCAUCACCACAAUAAUUUUUAAAGUAUUUUCAUCAUCCCAAAAAGAAAUCCAUACCCAUUAGCAGUCAACCCCCAUUUCUCCUACAGCUCUUGGAAACCACUAACCUUUCUGUCUCUAUUGAUUUACCUAUUCUGUACAUUUCCUAUCAAUGGAAUCAUAUAAUAAUUGAUCUUUUGUGUCUGGCUUCUUUCACUUAGCAUAAUGUUUUCAAGGUUCAUCCACAUUAUAGCAUUAAUCAGUACUUCAUCCCUUUUUUUGGCUAAACAAUAUUCCAUUUUGUGGAUAAACUACAUUUUAUUUAUCCAUUUAUCAACUGAUGGACACUUGAGUUGUUACCAUUUUUUGUUUUUUAUGAAUAAUGUUGCUAUGAAUAUUCAUGUACAAAUUUUUGUGCAGACAGUUGUUUUCAUUUCUCUU